rnacentral:rRNA from 1 species
AACGAACGCUGGCGGCGCGCCUAAUACAUGCAAGUCGAGCGAGAAGACGUAGCAAUACGUUUGUAAAGCGGCGAACGGGUGAGGAAUACAUGGGUAACCUACCCUCGAGUGGGGAAUAACUAGCCGAAAGGUUAGCUAAUACCGCGUACGCUCCUUGGACUUCGGUUCAGGGAGGAAAGCGAUACCGUGGGUAUCGCGCUCUUGGAUGGGCUCAUGUCCUAUCAGCUUGUUGGUGAGGAACGGCUCACCAAGGCUUCGACGGGUAGCUGGUCUGAGAGGACGAUCAGCCACACUGGCACUGCGACACGGGCCAGACUCCUACGGGAGGCAGCAGUAAGGAAUAUUGCGCAAUGGGCGAAAGCCUGACGCAGCGACGCC